rnacentral:rRNA from 1 species
UACGGGGGGGCUAGCGUUGUUCGGAAUUACUGGGCGUAAAGGGCGCGUAGGCGGUCUGCUAAGUUGGAUGUGAAAACUCUGGGCUUAACCCAGAGCCUGCAUUCAAUACUGACAGGCUAGAGUUCUGGAGGGGAUAGCGGAAUUCCUGGUGUAGCGGUGAAAUGCGUAGAUAUCAGGAGGAACACCGGUGGCGAAGGCGGCUAUCUGGACAGAGUCUGGACGCUGAGGCGCGAAAGCGUGGGGAGCAAACAGG